GACGUAGGGCGCGAGCGUUGUCCGGAUUUAUUGGGCGUAAAGAGCUCGUAGGCGGCUUGUUGCGUCGACUGUGAAAACCCGCGGCUUAACUGCGGGCUUGCAGUCGAUACGGGCGGACUUGAGUGUUGCAGGGGAGAUUGGAAUUCCUGGUGUAGCGGUGAAAUGCGCAGAUAUCAAGGAGGAACACCGGUGGCGAAGGCGGGUCUCUGGGCAACUACUGACGCUGGAGGAGCGAAAGCGUGGGGAGCGAACAGG
rnacentral:rRNA from 1 species